GGGGGGGGGGGAGAGGAGGAGAUUGGCACUAUUACUCGUUUUGAGGGGAGAUGGACGCAACGGUCAUGGAGGGUUCGGAAAUUUGAAUUUCGCUUGGUUGCAACGGUCGGGAGAAAACACGCCCCCCAUUUUAUCGCAUUUCUGGAAAUUACUUACUGGCAUAAGCUGGCCUCCGGAAAUAUAGAGAAGAAUUGGCCGUUUUGUACAUUUGAACGUUGUGAUAACCUUUAUGUCUGGUGGUCAAAGGUGUCAACUCGUGCCCCUUUAUGAUCCAACGAAUCGCAAGUGAAUAAGCCACUGGUGCUAGCAAAACUGCACCCUGAUACACGAUAGCCAAUGUGGCACUUUUUCUUCCUUCUUUUGAGGAGAGCCCUGCUAGAAAAGAUAAUUAUGAGUUUGCUUCUCUGGAUGUUGAUGCCACCCAAGUGUAUGAUUGAUGCUAAAACAAUGAUUUGUGCAAUAGAUGCAUUAGAAAUUAUUAUUCAUUUCAUCUCACU
rnacentral:lncRNA from 1 species